rnacentral:ncRNA from 2 species
AAUCAUGAGCGCCAACACCAAGCCCUGGCUGGUUGGCCGGCAACCCUCUCGCCGUAGCGGGGUGCUCCAGGUGAUGAUUCGGCCCGCUGGCCACCUGGCCUGCGGAGCAAGUACCGCGC